UCCUGUUAAAAGGGAGUUUUUUCUUCCCACUGUCGCCAAAGUGCUUGCUCAUAGGGGGUCACAUAAUUGUUGCGUUUUCUCUGUUGUAUUAUGUUAGGGUCAAUGUUACAGUAACACGUUGUUAUCACUGUCACCUCACAGCAACAAGGGCUCCAAGUCAAAGUAUAGUGCUGCUGAGUUUGACUCCACCAUCUGGCUGGGCCUUACUGUGUGGAGUUGGCAUGUUCUCUCUGUGUUUGCAUGGGUUAGGGUACUCUGUCUUCCUCCCACGGUCCAAAGACAUGCAGUUAGUGGAUAGGUUAAUUGGUGAGUAUAUAUUACCCAUAGGUGUGAAUGUUGGUGUGUCUCUACGUGUUAGCCCUGUGAUAGACUGUCCAGGGUGUACCUCCCCUCUCGCCCAGUUACUCACCAAGGAUGUAUUCAGAAUAUAUGACAUCCGUUCUGACAUUGUCUCCAAUGUUCAUUUCAUGCAUCUGGAAGGAAAUAUGUUCAGCACAGGUUAAUCUAUCAUCUGGCUUCCAUUCACAGACAAAUGGUCAGAGCGAGCAUGCCAAUCAGCUCCUCGCUGAGUCACCUCAUCCAACUAAUCUACAUGGAGUUCACAGCUGGUAUGGCCAACCUUCGCCUCUGUCACUGUUUGUGGAGGUCCAUCUGGUUAGUCCUCAAAGAUACAAAACAAAUGCCUGGCUGAUCGACACCAAGCCCUCCUCCAUCCUACCAGUCAGGUCGGAAGGUUUGGUUGGCUGCAAAAAAUAUCCUGCUUCACACAGAGUCUAAGAAAUUUGCACCCAAUUACACUGGACCAUUUAAAACUACCACACAACAUGAAGGUACACAAUACAGUUAGUGAUGUAUCCACAGGGAUUGGAAAGUUGGUGGUUUGAUCCCCGUCUGCUCCAGUCUGCAUGCCAAAUAUUAUUGGACAAGAUACUAACCCUAGAAAGUGCUUAAAUGGGUGUGAUUGGGUGAAUGAACAAGUUGUAUAUAGCGCUUUGAGUGCUCAGAUAGAGUCCUCAAAGCGCUAUAUAAGAACCAGUCCACAAUGUGUCUUCCAGAUAAAACCAGUCCAGUCUGGCUUUAUGUGCCCUUCUUCCAGGGCACCUUCCCACCUGGGCCUUUGUUUAUGAACCCCAGACAGCAUGGGAGGGGCUUCCAAAUUUGGUUAUGCGGGAGGAAUGGUCCUGUCUUUCACCUCAAACACCCUGAUCAGGUUUCCCUGGAGGAUCCCCUGUGAACAGUCUUUGUUUGGAUUUGAGAGAGAGUCUGGAAAAUAUGUUAAGCCAUAGUGGAGUCUGGGGCCACCGCAACUGUUCUGAUCAUUUUGAAACUGUUAAUAUUCACUGUAAAUAAAUGCACUAUGCUUUGAUUUGGAGCCGUGUGGUGGUAGUUGUCCACCACAACCACUGGAGGGGAAAGAGAAGACAGCAGUGAGCAACACAGGACAAAAAGCAAACUAUAAAAUCAUCUCCAACACCCUGGAGGAUAUCAGGGAGGAUUUAGACACUCUCCAAGAUUACAUCAACACAGUGCUUCGAACAGAACCAAAACAGAGUCCCCAAAAAUCUCAAAACAAAACGUCCAUAACUCACACACUGGAGCUCAAGAAACAGUUCAAAACACAAGUCAGGUGGCCAACCCGGGGACCGACACCACAGAAGUCCAGGGUGAAAUAGUUUAGGGGACCGGCGGCGUGGAAGGCAGCGGCGGCGACACUGUUCAGGAGGGCGUGGACCCGACGGCAGGGUGGCGGCCGCAGAACAAGAUGAGGCAGAGGCUGAAGGCGAAGCAGAGGCUGCAGGCGAGGAUGAUGCUGCAGGCGAUAGCAUGGAAAGUAUAGGUUGUGGCGCUGCAGGCAACGGUGGUGGCUGGACGGGCUCCUCGGACGCUCCAGUGGAAGCUGCAGGCGACGGUGAUCCCCAGCAAAGACAGAAGGCUGAAGCAGCCCGUCGGACGCCCCAGCGGAGGCAGGAGGCUAGAGCAGUUCAAUUCUUUCUCUGACAAAGUUGUACUUUUGUAUUUUCUUACUCAGUUGUAUAUAGUAUUUGUAUUCUAUUUUAUUCUAUUGUAUAUAUUAUUC